rnacentral:rRNA from 1 species
GAAAGGAGCUUGCUCCUGGAUUCAGCGGCGGACGGGUGAGUAAUGCCUAGGAAUCUGCCUGGUAGUGGGGGACAACGUUUCGAAAGGAACGCUAAUACCGCAUACGUCCUACGGGAGAAAGCAGGGGACCUUCGGGCCUUGCGCUAUCAGAUGAGCCUAGGUCGGAUUAGCUAGUUGGUGAGGUAAUGGCUCACCAAGGCGACGAUCCGUAACUGGUCUGAGAGGAUGAUCAGUCACACUGGAACUGAGACACGGUCCAGACUCCUACGGGAGGCAGCAGUGGGGAAUAUUGGACAAUGGGCGAAAGCCUGAUCCAGCCAUGCCGCGUGUGUGAAGAAGGUCUUCGGAUUGUAAAGCACUUUAAGUUGGGAGGAAGGGCAGUAAAUUAAUACUUUGCUGUUUUGACGUUACCGACAGAAUAAGCACCGGCUAACUCUUUGCCAACAGCCGCGGUAAUACAGAGGGUGCAAGCGUUAAUCGGAAUUACUGGGCGUAAAGCGCGCGUA